rfam:Naegleria gruberi genomic scaffold NAEGRscaffold_7, whole genome shotgun sequence.
CGGCGUAUGAUGCAGAGGUAGCAUGUUGGACUCUGAAUCCAAAUACGCAGGUUCGAUUCCUGCUACGCUGG